rnacentral:rRNA from 1 species
UAACUGCCGUUGAAACUGGGAUCCUUGAGUGUAAACGAGGCAGGCGGAAUUCGUAGUGUAGCGGUGAAAUGCAUAGAUAUUACGAAGAACCCCGAUAGCGCAGGCAGCUUGCCAGGCUACAACUGACACUGAAGCACGAAAGUGUGGGUAUCAAACAGGAUUAGAUACCCUGGUAGUCCACACAGUAAACGAUGAUUACUCGCUGUUUGCGAUAUACGGCAAGCGGCUUAGCGAAAGCGUUAAGUAAUCCACCUGGGGAGUACGCCGGCAACGGUGAAACUCAAAGGAAUUGACGGGGGCCCGCACAAGCGGAGGAACAUGUGGUUUAAUUCGAUGAUACGCGAGGAACCUUACCCGGGCUCGAACGGCUGUUGAAUGAAUGUGAAAGCAUUCAGUCGCAAGACAACAGUCGAGGUGCUGCAUGGUUGUCGUCAGCUCGUGCCGUGAGGUGUCGGCUUAAGUGCCAUAACGAGCGCAACCCUUACCGUUAGUUACCAUCAAGUCAAGUUGGGGACUCUAGCGGGACUGCCACCGUAAGGUGAGAGGAAGGUGGGGAUGACGUCAAAUCAGCACGGCCCUUACGUCCGGGGCGACACACGUGUUACAAUGGGGGGGACAAAGGGCAGCUACCGUGCGAGCGGAUGCCAAUCUCCAAACCCCCUCCCAGUUCGGAUAGGAGUCUGCAACCCGACUCCUUGAAGCUGGAUUCGCUAGUAAUCGCGCAUCAGCCAUGGCGCGGUGAAUACGUUCCCGGGCCUUGUACACACCGCCCGUCAAGCCAUGGAAGCCGGGGGUACCUGAAGUACGUAACCGUUAAGGAGCGUCCUAAGGUAAAAUCGGAAC